ACAAGAAUUUGUUUUACAUUAUUGUUUAAAUACCUGACAUUUGGUUUUUUAAUAUUUCAUAAUUCCAGAAUUCUAUGUUGAAUUUGUGCUCCUUAAUUCACCAAUCUUUGAUCUAAAUACAUGAAUCUUAGGAUUACACGAAUCGAGAGUCCUAUUUGUGGAUCUAAAUGUAUGUAUUUUCUUGGUUGCAUUGCAUUAAUUUUGGCCUUUAUGUUCUUCGUUUGCAUUUUAAUUAAUUGCUUUGCCGGUUGAGUUCACCAUGAACAGGAUUAAGAAACGUAUAACAAGGGUCGUAACACAACGGAAUUUUUUAGAGAAUCUGAAUGAAUGAGUAGAGAAUGUGGUAAUAUUUAAGGUUAUGGUUGAUGCAGAGUAUUGGGAGAACAGUCGACCUCUGGAGGGCCAACAUCCAGUGAGCCUGCAGCAAGAAAAGGAUAUUUCUUUAGCUGGGUGAACAAUUUCUGUUUCCGACGUAACAAAAAUGUCAAUAAAGAUGAUUUAUGUUGAUGGAUUUUCUAUGCAAAGGUAUAACACCAUGUUUCGCGUAAGAAAAAUAUAUCCUUGGAGAGAGUUGAUUGAUGUUAGUGAAACCCAUGAAGUUUGGGUUUCUGCCGACACAAGUUUUAAUUUCUGCUUAUGCAAUUUGUGUGUAGAUUAUUUCAAAAAUAACAUGUUACCAACUGAAAACUACGCAAAGUUUAAUUCAUUUUAAUUAAAUAAAGAAAUGAAAUCAAUAAAACAAUCUAAACAGAAACCAAAAUGUUUAGUAAAAUAUAAUAACCAAUCACCAAAAAAGUAAUUUAUUUGGACCAAUCAUGAGUUUAGGAUAAAUCUAUCAAUAGACAUGUGGCUCUAAAACAUGAAAACAAAAAUAAAGUAGCGAAAGCAUUGUCACAAUAGUUCCAAAUGGCACAAUCACAAUCGUAGAUCCUUCUUACCGGCCUUGUCUUUGUUUGAAAAAUUGAACAAAUACCCAGUAAGAGAUCAGUCUAGUAGUUCAUAGAGCACACAUCAAUAGUAAAAGUUAUCCACUUAAUGCACUACCUAUAAGUGGGGAUCCUAUAGAACACUAUACAUAUAGGGUAUAUAUUAACCUAAUAAUCAAAGUUAAUAGUUGUCAUUAGUUCAAACACAUCCUAGUUUAGUCAUUCUCAAUUCAAUUCAGUCAUAAACAUAACAUGUAAAAUAUAUUCAAUAACCUCAUUCGUAACCAUCAUGUCUCAAGUAUUUCAUUAUGAGUCAUCAAUUAAAUCAGUCAUACUAUCAAUGCCUAUUAAACCAACCCAAUAUAUAAUCAAUAAUAAUCACAUUAUCAAUCUCAGUCUUACUCAUGUCGAGGAUUUGGUGUAAUAAACCCCUUACCUUAAAUUAUAGAGUUUAGGGUGGCAACGUUGUUGCUUGAGAGAAAAUUUUAUGUUAACUUCGAUUGAAAAUUCAUAACUAUUAGGAAAAUACACCUUACAUAAGUCUCUGUGUCUGUUUUACCUUGGUUUUUAGUGUUUUAACUCAUAAUUAUGAAUAAAUGAAGAUAUUAGUGAAUCAUAUAAGAGCCCAUGCAAAAGACUACGCGAGAGAAUAUUGUCUGGUGAGUAUAAUUCUGAGGUGAGGAAUUACGUCAUCACGCGAGAAAGGUUCACUAGAAGACAAGAAUGGUAGUUGGGGUUGAUGUAACUUGACAAAUGCUACAAUCGACACUGACAUGAUCAGAAGAAUAGAUGUUUUCCAUCGAAAGAUGCCUAUAAAAAGACUUCAUCCUUACCAAGUAAAGUGGUCGACUUCGAAAAGAGUCAAACAUCUAAAUGGAUCGACCAAACCCUAAAAGUGGCGGAAAGGAGUAGUCUUUCUGUCCUCUGUAAAAAGUCAUUCUUCUUCUUCUCUGCACCCUUAAAAAGAAGUUUUAUAAGUCUUGUAAGUAAACACUUUUAGAUAGAUCCGUCUUAACCAAGUUUUAUCAUUUGUAUCUCGAGAAGGCAAGCUAGUGUGAGUUUAAGGCACUGAGAGGUGCUCAACUUAAUUAUAAGCUAGAUGGCUUAAUUGCCUAAUAACACGAAGACCUUCCUUGACACUUUUUAAUACAAGUUAGUUCACAUUUUCAUCUCGCCACUAUUUUUGUCCCCUUUUACAUAUUCUAGUGUAGAUAGUAGAUUUAGCUUAGACUUAUUAGAUAGUUAUUUUAUACCGACUAGAUGAAGAGUGAGCCUUAUAACUAAUGUUUUGUAUCAAUUCUCUAUGUUCGACCAUGAAUUAUCCAGAAAACCUAUUAUUUCGCUUCAUUUUUCUGUCAUACAGGGUAAAUACUUUCACUUUUUCUUAUUCAUGUAAAUUUCUCUUGAUAGCAUAUAUAUUGUUAAUUCACACAAAUAUUAAAGUGGUUCAUAAAUGAUAGACAUCUAUCAAUAAUGAUAAACCUACAAAUUUUUUAGUAAUCAACCAUACAAAAACAAUUUAGUGUAUCGACUAUUAAAAUGGUUCAGUCUAUUGUUGAUAGAUCCAAAAAAAUCGUAAAAAUAACACUUACACAUUAUUAAUUUUUUGUGAUAUAGUUACAAAUGUGUGGCAACGAAUUUUAUCACGUGACACUAAUCUUUAAGAAACAUAAAAUUCGCAAACAAAUGAUGGCAAUUUACUUGUUUGACUUUACCAAGCUUUUCAUUAUGUUAAUUAAUUUUCAUUUAUCAGUAUUUGGAUGAUGAUAUAAUUGUGCAGUGAAUAAACUUUAAUUAGUGUUCAAAGUUUUAGGCCUUAAUUAGUUCAAUUUUGAUUAGUGUUUAAAGAUUGCAUUAGUUAAAUUUUGAUUAGUGUCCAAAGUUUUAAAGACUAAGCGUGUCUAGACAGAGGGAUAAUCUAGAGUAGACUUUUUUAAUCACUAUAGUUAAUCUACAAUAUAGUGAUUUGAUAUUGGUUUAUAAGUGGUUCAAAAUAAUGAACUUUUAAGCCUUUUUUUUUUUUAACAGAAAUGAGAAGAGAAGAACCAUAUCAUAUACCUUUGGAUCAUUAGCUCGUAACACUUUUUUUUCAAUCUAUUUCUAAAUUUGUUAUUUUCACAAUUUUAAAAAUAUAAGUGACAUGAACUCUAUUAUUAAAAGUAAUCAUGACCUGAAUGAUUGUUUAAAAGAACUAUAUAUGAUCUGAAUGAUCGUUUAUCAUAAUAAUCACGAUCGUUUACUGUGGUCAACACGAUCGUUAGAUUUAGUUUUUAAAUAUCAUUUAUAUUGGAGUACACGAUCGUUUACCAUAAUCAACACUAAUUAACACUAAUUAACACGAUCGUUCACCAUGGUCAACACGAUCAUUAGAUUUAAGGUUUUUAAAUAUCAUUUAUAUUGGAGUAUACGAUCGCUAACUAUAAUCAACAUGAUCAUGUUCCAUGAUAACACAAUCGUUUGUCAUGGUCAACAUGAUUAUUUUAAUUUGACGUUUUCUUUCCUCUAUUAAAAAAGAAUUACACAAUCGUUUGUCAUUCGUUGAGACGGUAAGACACGAUCGUUUAGAAGAAAAUUACUCGCACGCGACUGUGGUCGAUUAAUUGUGUCUUGACUAAGAUAUUUUUUAUAUUUUCUAUCGUAGGCCUUGGAGUUUUCCAUUUUCAAAAUUGUUCAGUAUAGUGUAAAUAUGUUAUUGUAAAUAUGUUAUUGAUUUGUUAUAAUUUUUUUAAAAACCCUUAUAUAUGUGUGUAUGUGUGUGUGUAUAUAUAUAUAUAUAGACUAUUCAAAUGUGAUAUAAUAUAUUGUUCAAAUGUGUAUAGAUAUAUAUAUACUGUUCAAAUGUGAUAUAAACUAAUAUUGCAAAAAUUAAAGCUCUUAGCUUGAGCUGAACGCACCAAAUUAUAAUAUAGUAAAAGGAGGUUGAGAAACCGAGUAUCUCUCCUGAAUACAAAGUGGAUGAAGUAAUUUUUAAAUAAAUAGAAACGAAAAACAUUUAAAUGACAACCAAAUUUCAUAGAAUAAAAAGAUUUAAUUCGUUUUUGCAGGAGAAGGGCAAAGUUUCUUUUCUUCAAAAAGAGGUAAUGUUGACUUAAUCUUCUAUUAUUUUUAGCUUAAUUAAUAUUUCCAACGAUGGAAUAUAUCUGACAAAAUAACAAAAUUAAACCCUUAAAAGAUAGCACUAGCCAUAAUACCAAUUUGAGAUGUCUAUCUACUGACUUAUUAUUAACUCAUAAUGGGUAAGGCGGUAUAUUAAAACGUAAUAUUGAGCUUUUAAUUUAUAUAGAAAGUAUAGGUUGGUUUUCCCUUUAUUUUUAGUUGGGAUCAGAAUAUUGUAUAUUAGAUUAAACUAAAGAGACAUAACAAUACUUAAUUCUUGUAGAAGAGUCCAAACUCAAGUAAGUAGGGUUUCUAUUUAGAGCAGUCAGCCUCAGUUGGUAAGCUAAUGUUGCAGGAUUUAGCAAUUCUUCUAGCCGCACUAGAAUUCACGAAACUCCUCAAAUCUGGAUCAUUGAUAUAUUCACAGUAGCAUGGUUGUGCCUCCCUCAACUUGUUGCAACAUGUCUGACUGGGCGUCAUCCCAAAAAAUGCUGCUGUGCAUGACGAGAGCUGUGAUGGGUCGCAUUCCACUUGAGCAACCACCGGAGGAGCGCCAUUAAGAAGAGCCACCGUGGUUGCCACCACGAAAAUGCAAACAACGAUUGUGAUAGGAAAAUUCUUCAUUUGAUUGUGUUACGAGGAAGGGAGGAAUAACGAAUUUGUGUGUUUCUGUGCUUUUGCUGAUGCUUUCAACCUCUCCUUUUAUAGCCUCUCAUAGGGAGUAAAUGUGUGCAACAAGUUAAGUUACCACACCUCCUAUUCAAUACUUUAAGUUACCACAAACUCUUCCGCACGAGUUAAACAAGUGAAUUAGUUGUCAUAAAAUUUCGCUUACUAGAUGCCCAACGCAUUAUGACAUGGUUAGAUAGAC
rnacentral:lncRNA from 1 species